rnacentral:misc_RNA from 1 species
GGAAGGAUCAUUAUUGAACAACCAAGGUGCUGGGGCUGUUGCUGACCUAUGUCAUGCACGCCCUGGUGCUCUCAUACAAUCCAUCUCACCCCUUUGUGCAUUACUGCGUGGGUCCCCUUUUAGGGACUUGCGUUCUUUUUAAUAUAAACAUGUAUGUGUAGAAUGUCUUACUUUUGCAAUUAUAUGCAAUCAAUACAACUUUCAACAAUGGAUCUCUUGGCUCUUGCAUCAAUGAAGAACGUAGCGAAAUGCGAUAUGUAAUGUGAAUUGCAGAAUUCAGUGAAUCAUCGAAUCUUUGAAUGCACCUUGCGCCCUUUGGCAUUCCGAAGGGCACACCUGUUUGAGUGUUGUGACAUCCUCAACCUUUUUGGUUUCUUGACCAGAAAGGCUUGGACUUGGAAUUGCUGGCUUCUUGUUAAAGUGAGCUCCUCCUAAAUGAAUUAGUAGGGUCUGCUUUGCUGAUUCUUAACGUAAUAAGAUAUUUCUAUGUCUAGGGUUGAGUUAGAUCCUGCUUCUAACCGUCUUGCAAAAGACAAUGAAUAUAAAACCUUGACCUCAAAUCGGGUGAGACUACCUGCUGAACUUAAGCAUAUCAAUAAGUGGAGGAAAAGAAACUAACAAGGAUUCCCCUAGUAACUGCGAGUGAAGCGGGAAAAGCUCAAAUUUAAAAUCUGGUGGUCUUUGGCCAUCUGAGUUGUAAUUUAGAGAAGCAUCUUCCGCACUGGACUGUGCAUAAGUCUCCUGGAAUGGAGCAUCAUAGAGGGUGAGAAUCCUGUCUUUGGCACGGAGUCCUGGGGCUUCUAUGAUGCGCUCUUGAAGAGUCGAGUUGUUUGGGAAUGCAGCUCAAAAUGGGUGGUGAACUCCAUCUAAAGCUAAAUAUUGGCGAGAGACUGAUAGUGAACAAGUACCGUGAGGGAAAGAUGAAAAGCACUUUGGAAAGAGAGUGAAACAGUACAUGAAAUCGUUGAAAGGGAAACGCUUAAAGUCAGUUGCAUUGACCAAGACUCAGCCUUGCCUUGGCUUGAUGUACUUCUUGGCUGAUGGGUCAGCAUCAAUUUUGAUCCUUGGAUAAUGGCAAGGGAAAGGUAGCACCUUUAUAGGUGUGUUAUAGUCCUCUGUCGGAUGCAAGGGUUGGGAUUGAGGAACUCAGCAUGCACCUUUUGGUGUCAGGGCUUUGGCCCACAUUACAUGCUUAGGAUGCUGGCGUAAUGGCUUUAAAUGACCUGUCUUGAAACACAGACCAAGGAGUUUAACAUACCUGCAAGUGUUUGGGUGGAAAACCCAUGUGCGUAAUGAAAGUAAAAGUUGGGACCUCUGUCAUGGAGGGCACCGAUGCCCAGACCAGACCUUCUGUGAUGGCUCUGCGGUAGAGCAUGUAUGUUGGGACCCAAAAGAUGGUGAACUAUGCCUGAAUAGGGUGAAGCCAGAGAAAACUCUGGUGGAGGCUCAUAGCAAUUCUGACAUGCAAAUCGAUCGUCAAAUUUGGGUAUAGGGGCGAAAGACUAAUCGAACCAUCUAGUAGCUGGUUCCUGC